AGAGUUUGAUCAUGGCUCAGAAUCAACGCUGGCGGCGCGCUUAACACAUGCAAGUCGAACGGGAAAGUGGAGCAAUCCAUGAGUACAGUGGCGUACGGGUGAGUAACACGUGGGUAAUCUACCUCUUAGUGGGGAAUAACCCUGGGAAACCGGGGCUAAUACCGCAUAAGCCUGAGAAGGGAAAGCAGCAAUGCGCUGAGAGAGGAGCCCGCGGCCGAUUAGCUAGUUGGUAGGGUAAAGGCCUACCAAGGCAGAGAUCGGUAGCCGGCCUGAGAGGGCACACGGCCACACUGGCACUGAAACACGGGCCAGACUCCUACGGGAGGCAGCAGUGGGGAAUCUUGCACAAUGGGGGCAACCCUGAUGCAGCGACGCCGCGUGAGCGAUGAAGCCCUUCGGGGUGUAAAGCUCUUUCGUCAGGGAAGAUAAUGACGGUACCUGGAGAAGCAGCUGCGGCUAACUACGUGCCAGCAGCCGCGGUAAUACGUAGGCAGCGAGCGUUGUUCGGAGUUACUGGGCGUAAAGGGUGUGUAGGCGGUUCUUUAAGUUUGGUGUGAAAUCUCCCGGCUCAACCGGGAGGGUGCGCCGAAUACUGAGGGACUAGAGUGCGGGAGAGGAAAGUGGAAUUCCUGGUGUAGCGGUGAAAUGCGUAGAUAUCAGGAGGAACACCGGUGGUGUAGACGGCUUUCUGGACCGUAACUGACGCUGAGACACGAAAGCGUGGGUAGCAAACAGGAUUAGAUACCCUAGUAGUCC
rnacentral:rRNA from 1 species